GACCUGCAGUGGGUACGGGCACACUAGAGUGCGGUAGGGGGGAUUGGAAUUCCUGGUGUAGCGGUGGAAUGCGCAGAUAUCAGGAGGAACACCAAUGGCGAAGGCAGAUCUCUGGGCCGUAACUGACGCUGAGGAGCGAAAGCGUGGGGAGCGAACAGGAUUAGAUACCCUGGUAGUCCACGCCGUAAACGGUGGGAACUAGAUGUGGGGUCCGUUCCACGGAUUCCGUGUCGCAGCUAACGCAUUAAGUUCCCCGCCUGGGGAGUACGGCCGCAAGGCUAAAACUCAAAGGAAUUGACGGGGGCCCGCACAAGCGGCGGAGCAUGCGGAUUAAUUCGAUGCAACGCGAAGAACCUUACCAAGGCUUGACAUAUAGAGGAAAGGUGCAGAAAU
rnacentral:rRNA from 1 species